rnacentral:lncRNA from 1 species
UGUAAUAUUCGCGCAUGCGCAGACUAGUUGGGAGCCAUCGCAGACCGGGAAGCGUCAGGACCAAACAAAUGCGAACUUUAGGGAUUUUGAAGCGUUUCCCGGCCUGGGCCGGACCAAACAGUCCUUGAACCCCUUCCGGAACACCGGCCCGAACCUCGAGCAGAGCUUUCCGGUGAACUGGAGUUCUGCGCGCGGCUGCUGCACUCCUCUGAGGAUGUCGUCCUCCUUUAAAAUACCAAAGAAGAAACAACCUGGAGACUCAGACUCCUCCCACUUUCAUGUACAGUCUCCACUGUCCCGCCUUCAGAGCUCCGCCCCAUUGGUUAAGGGUUACGGGGAGUCCUCCAGCAGAGGCAGGGUAGACGGUCACCACAGGGGGGCUCUCAGCCCUGCAGCCGGGACAGACAGGCCUUUGUUCAGAGACGUGGUCAAAACGCUGCUGGGACUCAACAGCCCCAAUGAAGGCAGAGUGUCAGCGGCCAAUCACAGGCCGGCGGCGAGCUGGAGCUGCCAAUCACAGACUGGAGGAUGGCGUCCUAAGAGAGCGUCAGACCGCCUGCUGGACCAAUCCCAGCCCCUCCACCAACCCCUGAGGACAGGUGGGGGGGGUGUGUCUCUUCCACUCAAAAACUCCUCAGUGGAUUCUCUGGCUGAGCUGCGAGCCCAGGGGCAUGCUGGGAGUUCAGAUUCACUGCAAACCAGAGGCGAAUCCACGAAAGACGCAGAAGAGAGCAAGAUUGACUCAGGAAAAUCCCAGAACCAGAGUUCUGGACCCAAAACCAUCUCAGAGGACGGGCGUGGAGAGGAAUGGGAGGCGGAGCCUGGAUGUGAUGGAGGCCCAGAGAGACAGAUGGAAGCGGUUCAGAGAGGGGCGGAGCUCCGCUUCCCGUCCAAAGAAACCCAGAGUCACUCCAGCAGAACCCAUUGUUCUGUCCAGUGA